rnacentral:rRNA from 1 species
CCUACGGGGUGCAGCAGUGGGGAAUAUUGGACAAUGGGCGAAAGCCUGAUCCAGCCAUGCCGCGUGUGUGAAGAAGGCCUUCGGGUUGUAAAGCACUUUCAGUGGGGAAGAAAGCCUUGGGGCUAAUACCCUCGAGGAAGGACAUCACCCACAGAAGAAGCACCGGCUAACUCCGUGCCAGCAGCCGCGGUAAUACGGAGGGUGCGAGCGUUAAUCGGAAUUACUGGGCGUAAAGCGCGCGUAGGCGGUCUGAUAAGCCGGUUGUGAAAGCCCCGGGCUCAACCUGGGAACGGCAUCCGGAACGGUCAGGCUAGAGUGCAGGAGAGGAAGGUAGAAUUCCCGGUGUAGCGGUGAAAUGCGUAGAGAUCGGGAGGAAUACCAGUGGCGAAGGCGGCCUUCUGGACUGACACUGACGCUGAGGUGCGAAAGCGUGGGUAGCAAACAGGAUUAGAUACCCCGGUAGUC